CUGAUGAGUUAGUAUAAUAUGGUAAAUAACAACAGAUAGUCGAAAAAAGUCAGGAUUAAUAUUAAUAUCUUUCUUAUGCUUUUUGUGUGUUGUAGAUAAAAGCCAUCAUGGCGUUGGUUGUUGUCAUCCUUUUGUUGGUGAUCAUCAUACUUACAGUUGUGAAAUACCGCACUUGAUUUGAUGAGAGAGAUCUUCAUUAAACAAAAUCUGGGACAAUAAUAAUAAUAAUAAUAAUAAAAGAUUGCUGCAUAAUUUAAAUGAAACCCAUGUAUAUAACUUUCAAAACUUCUUUUCCAAGAAACUGAGCGGCAAGUAUCACUUCAAACUGGAGCAUUGAGAAUGUCCAUUAUCUUUUUCCCCUUCUAGCAAAAUGAAAAUGUGCUUUUAAUAAUUAUGUUCAAGGCCAAGACAGCCAGCCUGUUUUGCCACAUUCCAAGGAUCUGAUUUGAAACUAGAUAUUUGCUCAUUCACUAUGUGUGUCUGUAGUUCAACACUGAUACGAGACUUCCGACUGCUUCUUCAGUGGCUUAAGGACUUGGACUCUUGCAUUAAGGUGGGGGGUCAGGAAGCCUAUGUAGCUGUUCCAUCAACAUUCGGAAGAUUCUUCUCACAUUACAGUUGCUUUGCAAGCAAUUUCCACGUUUAUGGGUGUAACAAAAGCUAAGUGUUGUAAAUGCUGCUGCCUUCAGCUGUAACUAAAAACAUUCCAGUAAAUCUAUUUUUGACUGUA